rnacentral:rRNA from 1 species
UACGUAGGGUGCGAGCGUUGUCCGGAAUUAUUGGGCGUAAAGAGCUCGUAGGCGGUUUGUCGCGUCUGCUGUGAAAACGCGAGGCUCAACCUCGCGCCUGCAGUGGGUACGGGCAGACUAGAGUGCGGUAGGGGAGAUUGAAAUUCCUGGUGUAGCGGUGGAAUGCGCAGAUAUCAGGAGGAACACCGAUGGCGAAGGCAGAUCUCUGGGCCGUAACUGACGCUGAGGAGCGAAAGCAUGGGGAGCGAACAGG